ACCCCCGGGCCCGAGAGGAGGAUGCAGACGCCGCGGCCGGCGAUGAGGAUGGAGGCCGGAGAGGUAGCGCCGCCGGCAGGGGCGGGCGGCCGCGCCGCGGGCUGCUGGGGCAAGUGGGUGCGGCUCAACGUCGGGGGCACGGUGUUCCUGACCACCCGGCAGACGCUGUGCCGCGAGCAGAAGUCCUUCCUCAGCCGCCUGUGCCAGGGGGAAGAGCUGCAGUCGGACCGGGAUGAGACCGGGGCCUACCUCAUUGACCGUGACCCCACCUACUUUGGGCCCAUCCUGAACUUCCUCCGUCAUGGCAAGCUGGUGCUGGACAAGGACAUGGCUGAGGAGGGCGUCUUGGAGGAAGCCGAGUUCUACAACAUCGGCCCGCUGAUCCGCAUCAUCAAAGACCGGAUGGAAGAGAAGGACUACACAGUCACCCAGGUCCCACCCAAGCACGUGUAUCGCGUGCUGCAGUGCCAGGAGGAGGAGCUCACGCAGAUGGUCUCCACCAUGUCUGACGGCUGGCGUUUUGAGCAGCUGGUGAACAUCGGCUCCUCCUACAGCUACGGCAGCGAGGAUCAGGCCGAGUUCCUGUGUGUGGUGUCCAAGGAGCUCCACAGCUCCCCGAACGGGCUGAGUUCCGAGUCCAGCCGCAAGACCAAGCCCAGUCAUCUCAGGAUCCCGCUAACCUUUUCUCCCUCCCACCACUGCCUCCUCCUCCGCUUCCCGCUGGAGGUCCUGCCUCAUCUUCAUCCACCUCUUCUUCCUCCUGGAUCUCAUCUGCACCCUGCCUCUUCCCUCUCUGCCCCUGUCCGGGUUUUCUCUCUGCCUGCUCACGCCUCCAUCCCGGGGCUGCCCUGGUCCCAGCCUCCCGUGCCCUCCACGCAGGCCCCCUGGCCCUGCAUCCCAGACCAUCCUGCCUGCCGCCUCCUGCGCCCCUUCUGGUACCUCCUGCCUCCCAGCCUGGGGAGGAGGGGCGCAGCUGUACCUCCUCUGUGCCCACCAACCCUGCCGGGCACCUCUGAGGCUCGGCCUCGGGCCCUGCCCCGCCUCUCCUCCUCCCGCCGCCUCCUCACGUCUCCUCCUUGCAGGUUUCCGCCCGCACCCUCUCAGACCUGAGGCUGAGCUUGCCGUGAGGGCUUCUCCUCGGCCCCUCGCCCGCCCCCAGAGCUGCCAUCCCUGCUGUUACAAGCCAGAGGCACCUGGAUGUGAGGCCCCAGAUCACCUCCAGGGACUUGGGGUUCCCAUCUGAAAUCCUUUAUUUUUGUACCAUGGGGUGGGCCCCGGGCCUGAGAAGGAAGAAGUGCCCUCUCCCUGGCCUCCUCUGUCUGCAUCCAUGGGGCUGUGACUUACCCCUGCCUCCAGGGGCAGGGCGGGGGCCCCCUGGGACCUCUCAAGGCCUGAGGUGGGCCCCAGGCCCCCUGGGCGGAGCCGACUGCCCGUGGCGGACAUGUGGCACUGCCUGGCCAUGCCUCUGCAGCCCCCACACCCCCUCGCCCAGGUCCCCCUGCUGCAUGGCAGACGUGCGCCCUCCUGGCCCGGUCACAGCGCCUCCUUGAGCCUUAGUCCAGGGGUAACUCCUCCCACCCCACCUACCUCACAGGGUUGUUGUGAGGGUGCACGGAGGAGCCAGGUCCCCGAAGGCCCUCAGGUAGUAUAUAGGGGCAGCCCCCCCUUCAGCUGCCCCGGGAGGGAAAGGACCCAGCCCCACCCCCUGGCAGAACGCUGUUUGCAAAUGGAGAUUCAGGUACUGGGGAUACGGGGUGUGGGGAGCUGGCCUGUCAGAGUAGGGGCAGCUGGCUCAGUCUUCACCGCGGUGAUCCCGCCCCCAGCCACUUGCAUUGCCAGCCCAGCACCUGGCCUGGAGGGCGGGGAGAGGCAGCGGAAGGGGCUGGGCAGGGGCAGUGGAGGACUCAGGAAGUGCGCAGGGGAGAGUGGGCGUGACGGCUGAGCCAGGGGCCCCUCCUGAGUUUGCCUUCCCGGGAUGGGCCCUUGCUUCUCAGCUGUGUUGGACCCCACCAUGUAAUAAAGCCCGAAGGAACAGCCCA